UACGUAGGGGGCUAGCGUUGUCCGGAAUCAUUGGGCGUAAAGCGCGUGUAGGCGGCCCGGUAAGUCCGCUGUGAAAGUCGGGGGCUCAACCCUCGAAAGCCGGUGGAUACUGUCGGGCUCGAGUGCGGAAGAGGCGAGUGGAAUUCCUGGUGUAGCGGUGAAAUGCGCAGAUAUCAGGAGGAACACCAAUGGCGAAGGCAGCUCGCUGGGACGGUACUGACGCUGGAGACGCGAAAGCGUGGGGAGCGAACAGG
rnacentral:rRNA from 1 species